AGGUCAAGGCUCCCAGUAAGGAAUGCGAGAAAUGUGCAGACUUAAAUGAACAGCUGACUUCAGCUUUGAUGGAUAUUGACAGGCUAAAAGCCCUUCAAGAGGACGAGGUUCCCAGUAAGAGCUGUGAGAACUGUGAAGACUUAAGUAAGCAGCUGACUUCAGCUUUGAUGGAUACUGCCAAGCUAAAAGCCCUUCUAGAGAGACAAAAAACUCCACCUCCGACUCCAAAUCGUUCGGAAUCUG